UAGGGUUUACUUAGAAACCGUUUCAAUCAGAAAUUGCUCAAUUUCACAAUAAUUACAAAGAAAUCGCAAGUAACACACUGAAUUAAACGUGAAAUUUGGAGACUGAAAUAUAAUAUUUUGCGCCCCAAAAAUCUUUUAACCCCUUGAAAGUGUAGGGGUUGUAGUCCUAUAAUUUUGAAUGAAAACAUUUAGGCUAAGUGAAACAAAUGUGAGCAUUUACACUUGUUUCCAUCAAUGGGAGUCUAUCUCUGUGGUCUCCCCUUUACACAGAGCUCCAUUGGACAAUUCCAUCUGAUGAAGUUGAAAAGGCGAAUCAACCUGUUCCACACCAGAGCCGCUGCGCCUGCUCUCCUCUCCGAACCUGAUCAAGACAAUCUGCCUUUCUCUAGAUGAUCGCUCGUGAUGUCUUUAGCUCGUAUGUUUGUAAAUCAUUCGCGGGAAAUGUCAGUGCAGGAGAUUCCAUCAAAACCCAAAGGUCUGCUCGGAUGGUAGAGCAUCCAUGCGCCUCAGUGGACUGUUGCGAAUUGAGCUGCUUUUGCGCUGGCUGCUGAAAUGCAGUCUCUCAUAUCACCAGUGACUAAGGCUAUCCUUGUAGCUCUGUUUAUUUUUGCAAUUUUGCUCAUCCUGUAUGUAAUACUGUGGUAUAUAUGCAGAGACGUGGACUGUGAUCACGGCAUUUGAUUUUGGAGAUCGAAGCUGCAGAUCAGCGGAGAAGUCAGGGUGACCCCGGUUUGCCUCAACAAAAUGGCAAAGUUGCAAUAGUGACGUGUGGCUCCAAAGGACUUGGAUAUGAGACGGUCAGACAGUUGACGAAUUUGGGAAUUUAUGUCAUAUUAGUCUCACAAUGAAAAGGAGGGUUUGGCUGCUGUGAAGAAGCUUUGUGAGGAGAUCAGUGACGCUCAGGUGGACUUUGAGAUUUUGGAUGUGGUGUCUUUGAGGGUUUGUCCAGAGAUUUAAGGAUCGACGUCUUCCACUGCACACGCUCAUCAACAAUGCAGCUGUUAUGCUGGUUUCUGAAAGCAGAACCGGAGACGGAGUCGAGGCGUGUUUUGCCAUCAUCUACCUGUGCCACUUUCUGUUGACCUGCCUUCUGCUGGACAGCCUGGUGCAUUCUGGGAAGGAUGGGUCAUGCUCUAGAGUCAUCAGUAUCUGCACAGCAUUCAGCAGCAGCCAUGAGGCGUACGCCUGGAGCAAACUGGCACAGCUUCUGUUCACCUCCCACCUGCACUGUGCACCAGAGCCGAGCGGAUCAGCGGUGACGGCUGACCCGGGCCUGGUGGACACGGGACUGUACGGCCGCCUCGCCAGACUCGCACACAGACCCGUCGCCCGGCUCUUCUUCAAGCUUUUUUGCUACAGCAAAUGUGUUUUACAAACACACUGUCUCAGCAGCCAUGCAGAGAAGACAAACUUAUAAGAUUUAAGAGCCCAACUAAUGGGAACACCGAUCACCAUUAUGGCGACUUCAAAUGAAACAAACACUCCAGCUGAAGGUGCCGCUGCUGCUGUUUCUCCAGAGCUGGAAGGAGUUGGUGGAUGUGUCGUGUCUGAAGGUCAUCAGAUUCGGUCCUCAGCAGCUUCUCUCCAUCAAGAUCUUCAGGCUGGACUCUGGAGAAAGACCUGCGAUCUGCUGCGCCUCCGGGACUCGCUGUUUCUCUCAUAUGACACACAAUGUGGUCGCUUCACUUUUGUAAACUGGUUCAACUGAAGGUGGAAGCUGCUCAGAUGCCGUCACAAAUGAACCAUUCAUUACACUCUGAGUCAGUCGAUUCCUUCCAAGUGUUGACAAUCUCAUACCGAAGAACUGUGACUAAUGAAGAGUCACGUCAUGAUUAUUUGUUGUUCUUCUGAAGGGCUCGACGCUCUUGGAAGGAUCGCUGUGAACGUCCUUCCCACACUGUGAGUGUGUUUCUGUCAUUGCUUCCGAUUUAAUCUGCUGCAACUGUGUCCGGAGCGUCCCACACUCUUAGAAGGAAAGGUUCAGUGAGUUUUAUAUAGAACUCUAGGGUUCUUUAAUCAGUUUUAAAGAACACUUUAUGCCAGAAAGGUUCUAUAUAAGGAGAAAUGUCUUAAACGAUUGCAUAAUACUGUAACACUUUACUUAAAGCCUUUAUGUAUAAUGCAUUAUAAAAGUAUUUAUAAUGCAUUAUAUCUUUACAUAAAUAUUUGUAUUUACUAUGGGUGUGACAAGAUUUCAUGAGAUUAAAAUAUGACGAGAUAUGAAAAUCUGUCAUGACGAAGUGUGAAGGUGAAAUUAGGAUAGAAUAUGCCACCGCUACGUUUACAUUACGCCUCCACUGUCAUUUUGCUUUUUAGUUUAAUUCAUUUGAAUAACGGUCGCUUCAAUCCCAUCCAGCUCCUCCAACACGAGCUGCAGCUCUGUACGUAGUGCAGCAGGAAUCAGAGUUCACUGAUCACGUGACGAGAGUGACGAGAUGACUGACAAGACCAUGGCAGAGGAUUCGUUGCACAACAGAGCCUGAAGCGUCGGACAAAUGACUUAUCUUGUGGAAUGCGUGCUCAGCACUGCCGCUCCCUAUUCACAGAGUACAUGCGAUUGCAAAAUCAAAAGUAAAACGCGCAUUCAAAUGCCCGCAUUUUGAAAGUGGCACCCUGAUGCAUUAUACUUUCUAAAGGUAAUAUAAUGCAUAAUAACUGUGGUUACAGUUAGUCAUGAGAUCAUACAAUGCAUAAUAAGGUGCAUUACAAGACAUAAUUAAUGCAUUAAAAAUAGUUUUAUAAUGCAUGAAAGGCUUUAAUUAAAAUGUUACCACUAAAUCCAUAAGAUGAUCCCACACUCUUAAACAUGAAGGUUGCAAAAAGGGGGUUUUGAUAGAUGAAAUAGAAGAACCAUUUUUAUAUCCACAAAGAACGUUUCACUGAACAGUUCUUAAAAAUUCUUAGUUCUUUUGAUAAUCUCAAAAACCUUUUUCCACUUAAAGAACCUUUUGUGCAAUGGAAAGUUUCCAGGGAUGGAACCAUCGAUGCCAAUAAAGAACCUUUAUUUUUCGGAGUGCGUGAUGGGAACCCUUAUAUGAAACGCCUGACGGAACCUUUUAAGGUUCUAAAUAGAACCUUUUCUUCUAAGAGUGCUUCUGAUGUUUGUCAUUUGUUUAAGUUCUCAUCUGGAUCAGUCACUGUAGUUUUUUUCUGUUCACAUAAACUCAAGAUGUUUCCAGUGACGAGCAGAAAGAGUCUGUUUUUGUACUGCCACUUAAUUAACCAAUACGACCUAAACCUCUAUUCAUCAUCACAAUCGACUCGUUUACUUACAUACAUGGUCUUAUUGUGAAUGAUUCAUCAUUCAGGUUCUCUCAAGUAAAUGUUUGUCUUAGUAAUCUUUCAUCAAAAAGUAAUAACUCGCCUCUAAACCGUCUUUCGUUGUGGUUUAAUUAAAACAGCAUCUCAUUUAGACUUUAAUCACUGUACUUCACAACCUUGUGUGCUUUUAUAAAACGCCAAUGUGAUCAAAUGCACCAAUGUUCAGUUGAUAGUUAUUAAUAUUAAUAAUUGGAGUAAUCAGUUCUUCCACCAAGUACUGUAGUUUAUUACUGCGACUACAGAAACUUGCAUUAAAACAUCUGCAUUUGACUGACAACCCAUUCAACAGGCUCAUCCAAUCAGGAUUCAGGAUUCGUUUUAAUAACAGCUUAAAGAUGAAAACAUUCUUUUCACCACGUUUUCAUGUUCAGAACAGCUUAUUCUUUUAUGAAAGUCCCUUCAUAUUUAUAGAAAGAAAGGUAUGAUUUUCUGUGAAUCAUAUCAAAGAAUAUGAAGCUGUGAUUAGUGAAGCUGCAUUAUUGACGAUCUCGUCUUCAAUCCAAGAGACGAAUCCUUCGAAUAAUCCAUGAUGUCUGUACAAAUGCUUCAUUUCAUUGAGAAAGACGAGAUGAGAAUGACUGUGAAACGCAGAAGCUGUUAAGCACAUAUCCAAAGGAUUUUUAUUGUAUUACACACAUGAUCUUCAGUGGCGUCAAAAAGAAAUGUACAGCUUUUUAUAAUGGUGCAGGAUGCAAAGUUAUAUUUCUCACUGAAAAUUAUGAGGAUUUUGUGUCCUUCCAAGCCCAAGCUCAUUCUGUCUCAGUGUCGAUGUUUGUAUGAAAAUCUAAGAAACUGAAAGAAACCAGGUGAAUCUCGGAAGCUAAAUAUUCUUUCAUAAAUUUGCCUAAAAUAAUAAUAAUGAAUCAGCGUGCUGUAGACUCAUUGUGUUGUAUGAAUGUUUUUUUAAGAAUCCAUGCUUUAAAUAUUAACUCUUUGAUUCAGGCCUUGUGUGUGAUAUUAAUGUAGGUGUUAUUGAAUAUUCUGUACCGAUGAUGUCAGUGUCACGUGUGUCGUGUUCACGUUUCAUUUGUUCAUGAAGUGCUGAAGUCAUGAGGUUUAUGUUCACGUUUCAGAAACUGUUAAGAUUAAAACAACUUGCACUAAACAAUAAGAGGUUUAAAAAUCUAAAUGCUUCUGAAAUGCACUUUAGCAAAUAUGAUUUUGAAUGCAGGUGACAAUGUGAAAUUGCACAGGUUAAUCUCACAAUCCAGAUCAUAUUUAAUCCAAAAAAGAAAAAAAAAGAAAGAAAAGUGAAUCAAUUGAAGCCUAUUUUUGGAACUAUGAUUAUUAUUAUAUAUUUUAUUACUUUUUUUGUUUUUACCAUAUAUAUAUAUAUAUAUAUAUAUAUAUAUAUAUAUAUAUAUAUAUAUAUAUAUAUAACGUGUGUGUGUGUAUAUAUAUAUAUAUAUAUAUAUACUUAAGCACAUUUUCUUGGAUUGUAAAGCAUUUAAACCUCAUAAUGGUAUUUGUUUUGCUGUCUUUAAUAAUGAAAAAUACUUUUUGCAUUACAGUAAAUGGUACAGGGAAAUGUGCUUCAUUAAAAUAUCUUAAAGCAGAAUUCAUUUUUUUAUAUUCCCUUUUCUUUGGAUUUUGCCAUGUUUUUUUGUGAGAUUCACCUGUACACUUUCUUCAUGUACUUGACAUUUGCUGUUAUUAAAAUGAGUUCAUGCAGAAUGGAAGAAAGACAUGAAUUGAAAUCAUAAAAUCCAUGUGAUUUGUAGGUUUUAUGUUCACCAUUUCCUGCAAUAAAACAGCAUGGGGUAUGAAAUCUAACUGUUCAGUGUUUAAACAUCAAAUGCAUAAUUUUAUGGAUCCAUAUGUGACUUUCUGGAAUAUUUUACCAAAGCUAACAAAUAUGAGACUCACAACAUUUUACUCUAAAUAAACCUUUAUAAGAAUUAUGCAUCGUCUCUGAAUUAUGGCAUAAACAAAUUUAUGUUGUCACUGCGACUAUGAACAUGUUCAAUGUUUUUCUUACAUAAGUCAUUUAAUGUGCUUUGUUUUGUAUACUUCAGUCAUUAUUACCCAUGAGCCUCUUUCUCUGAGCCAAUUCACAUGCAAUAACUGGUAAAUAUGCCAACACUUGUUGUUGUUUUUUCUCUGUGAUGAAAAAGUGAAGCCUCAAUCAUCCUGUCUGAAUAUUCCAUAUAAACAUUUGCAAUAAUAUUAAUAAAGACACGUACUGUUUCUUUAA